rnacentral:rRNA from 1 species
UGGGGAAUAUUGCACAAUGGGCGAAAGCCUGAUGCAGCGACGCCGCGUGAGGGAUGACGGCCUUCGGGUUGUAAACCUCUUUCAGUAGGGACGAAGCGCAAGUGACGGUACCUGCAGAAGAAGAACCGGCUAACUACGUGCCAGCAGCCGCGGUAAUACGUAGGGUGCGAGCGUUGUCCGGAAUUACUGGGCGUAAAGAGCUCGUAGGCGGUUUGUCACGUCGUCUGUGAAAUCCUAGGGCUUAACCCUGGACGUGCAGGCGAUACGGGCUGACUUGAGUACUACAGGGGAGACUGGAAUUUCUGGUGUAGCGGUGGAAUGCACAGAUAUCAGGAAGAACUCCGAUGGCGAAGGCAGGUCUCUGGGUAGUAACUGACGCUGAGGAGCGAAAGCAUGGGUAGCGAACAGG